CCCUUAGACGUUCUGGGCCGCACGCGCGCUACACUGACCAGUGCAACAAGCAUCCGUCCUUGGCCGACAGGCCCGGGCAAUCUUUGAACGCUGGUCGUGAUGGGGAUAGACUUUUGCAAUUUUUGGUCUUCAACGAGGAAUUCCUAGUAAACGCAAGUCAUCAACUUGCAUUGAUUACGUCCCUUCCCUUUGUACACACCGCCCGUCGCACCUACCGAUUGAAUGGUCCGGUGAAGCCUCCGGAUUGGCGCGCACCUCGGUGCCGCCGAGAAGUUGGCUAAACCUUACCAUUUAGAGGAAGGUGAAGUCGUAACA
rnacentral:rRNA from 1 species